AUUUUCAUUUUGUAUUUCAACCUUGAAUUGUAAUUUGCUUUUGCGUUUCAAGAUGCUUCACCUUUAGACUAGAAAAAAGACUAAAAAGUUUACAUAGAAUAAACACCAUAUCAGCUUUCGAGACAAUUUUUAAGGUCGGAGUAAGAUUUCAUAAUGAAAAGCACAGAAAGAAACUUUAUGUGCACGCUAAAGACAGAAGUGUACUUCCCGAUCCGAUUCCAUUGGAGGUAUUACCUAAAGGGUAUGGCGGAUAUGUGGGUACCGCGAAGGAAUUAACAGAUUAUUGGCUAGAAAAGUUUGAUGAUUAUGAAGAACGGUUUCAAGAUCUAUUUGAAAUUAUAUAGAAUGAAUGAAACAAAACGACCAGGCAAAGCCAAGACUACAGAGACAAUGUCCGACGUACAAGGAUCAUUUAGAAAACUCGAUGUCACGGAUUUUGCAUUGCUCAUAAAGAUUUAGACAUUAUUAUAAAGAGAUAAAUAUUGAAACACCUA